rnacentral:rRNA from 1 species
AGGAUGAACGCUGGCGGCGUGCUUAAUACAUGCAAGUCGAGCGGUAAGGCCCCUUCGGGGGUACACGAGCGGCGGACGGCUGAGUAACGCGUGGGAACGUACCCCAAAGUGAGGGAUAAGCACCAGAAAUGGUGUCUAAUACCGCAUGUGCUCUAAGGAGUAAAGCUCCGGCGCUUUGGGAACGGCCUGCGUCCGAUUAGCUUGUUGGUGAGGUAAUGGCUUACCAAGGCUACGAUCGGUAGCUGGUCUGAGAGGAUGACCAGCCAGACUGGGACUGAGAACGGCCCAGACUCCUACGGGAGGCAGCAGUAGGGAAUUUUCCGACAAUGGGCGAGAGCCUGAUGGAGCAACGCCGCGUGCAGGAUGAAGGCCCUAGGGUCGUAAACUGCUUUUAUGUAUGAAGAUUAUGACGGUAAUACAUGAAUAAGGAUCGGACUACUCCGUGCCAGCAGCCGC